AUUGAACGCUGGCGGCAGGCCUAACACAUGCAAGUCGAGCGGAUGAAGGGAGCUUGCUCCUGGAUUCAGCGGCGGACGGGUGAGAAAUGCCUAGGAAUCUGCCUGGUUGUGGGGGAUAACGUCUGGAAACGGGCGCUAAUACCGCAUACGUCCUGCGGGAGAAAGUGGGGGAUCUUCGGACCUCACGCUAUCAGAUGAGCCUAGGUCGGAUUAGCUAGUUGGUGGGGUAAAGGCCUACCAAGGCGACGAUCCGUAACUGGUCUGAGAGGAUGAUCAGUCACAUUGGAACUGAGACGCGGACAAGGCUCCUGCGGGAGGGAGCAGAGGGGUAUAUUAGACAAUAGGCGAAAGCCUGAUCCAGCCGUGGCGAGUGUGUGAAAAAGGUCUUCGGAUUGGAAAGCACGUUAAGUUGGGAGGAAGGGCAGUAAGUUAAUACCUUGCUGUUUUGACGUUACCAACAGAAUAAGCACCGGCUAACUUCGUG
rnacentral:rRNA from 1 species